AUUCAACUGACGAAUCUCAAAUAAGACGAAACGUGUGUCGUGGAU
rfam:Schistosoma curassoni strain Dakar, Senegal genome assembly, scaffold: SCTD_contig0006947